rnacentral:lncRNA from 10 species
CAAAAAAAAAAAAGAAUAAUGUUAGUGCCCCUGCCCCCCAACUCUCCUCCACCCCCGGGGUGCAGGCUGGCUGGGGCUCCGGGUCAACUCUCCCUUCUCCCUCUGUAGAAGCCAGACGCUUCCCCUCUCUCCCCUCACCUAAAGAAGCCAGUUUGGGGCCAGUCACAUACUGGAUUAUGGAUCUUCAGAAUCCCUGGUCUUUGGCAUUUGGAAAGGCCUGGAAUAUGCCUUUUUAGCAGAUGACUGUGAUGCAGGUGGUCUGAGAAUGUGCUCUACAUCUUGUAAAACAGGUGACAUGAAAUGGCCGUUCUAGUCUAUGCAAUGGCAGCAUGAACACAGAAAGCUGAAACGGGGGAUCAGUUCUGCAGCCAAGAGACAUUAAAGCUCAAAGGAAAAGAGAGUGGAGGGGCUGCUGCCCCAGGAAGGCUGGGCCCACCCCUCCUCACAGGCACCCUGAUGCCUGUUCAGCUUGGCUCUCUGGAUGACAGGCAGAAGCCCCAGUUGCUUCUCUUCUCCACGGUGAUUUCUGCAUACUUUAUCCAAACCCCCUCCCCACCGCUGUUCAGUUUCUGGCUCCUCUUCCUGCCCGUGCUCUGAGGCCAGCUGGGGGCCUCCCAGGUGACUCCUGCUGCUGCUGUCACUGGACCCUGACGCUGUGCCGCACCCGAAUUCCUCCGAAUGGAGCCUUGGCCAGAGCAAGGCGUGCCGUGUAGAGGAGCGGAUCUGAGCCUGGCAGGAGAUCGCUAAAACCUUUGCCCUUCACACAAACGCGGAAGCACGGGGCGGGUGCUGAAGAGCCAAGCAAGUGUCCCCCAUUUCCUUCCAAGGCAGAGCAGCAGCCCAGGGAGGCCCAGUUUCCAUCGCGGCAGAAGGGCAGAAGAGUGGGGGAGGUCCCAGGACCACAGCCCAGGGGACACUCAGGAUGCGCCAGGAAGGACAUGGCAGACAGGCCCUUUAGGUGGAAAAGCAACCCUCAGCUGCCCAGAGAGCGGCCCCUCCAGGCCCUCCCCGCCGUCUGCAAAGCUCUUCAGCUGGGAGAGGAGGAAAGGGUUUGUUCUUGACCUCCUUCCUUUCCUUUCUUCUCCACUGUCCACCAGAGAGCAGGAAGACAGGCUGAUGCUCUUGUUAAAGAUGAAGGCAUAAUUCACAUGCCAUAAAAUUCACCAUUUUAACCAUUUUAAGGUGCACAGUUCAGUGGUUUUGAGUGCAUUACAUUGUUGGGCAACCAUCAGCAUGGUCUAAUUCCAAAACAUUUCUGUCACUCCAAAAAGAAAUCUUGUACCCAUUAGCAGUCACUCCCCAUUUCCCCCUACCCCCCAGCCCCCCGGCACCCACGAAGGUGCUUUCUCUGUUUCGAGGGAUCUUCCUAUUGUGGCAAAUCCUCUGAAUGGAAUCAUACAAUAUGUGGUCUUCUGCCACUGGCUUCUUUCACUGACCAUAAUUUUUCAAGGUUCACCCACGUUGUAGCAUGCGUCAGCGCUUCAUUCCUUUCCAUGGCUGGACUGUAUUUCAUUGUAUGUCUGGACCACAUUCUGUUUCUCUAGUCAUCAGUUGAUUACUUACUUUUCAGGGCCCACUUAGCCUUUCUUCCCAAGGGCAGGGGCUCUGUUGUCCACUGUUUUGGAGUCUUCCAGCAGACUUGAUGGAGUGUACCAGUGGUUUCCUUGCUGGGCAAAUAACCAGAGGGUCCCUGGGUACGGGAAUCUCUGAGUCCUGAUCUUUGGCUCUGCUGCAGACCAGGUCACUGUAUGAUCUUUUAGCAGCCUCUUUACCUCACCUGGCCUCAGUUUCUUCAUCUGAAAAAUGAAGGGCUUGAAGCAGAUGGUCUCUAACACUUCUCCUGGCCCAACACUUUAAGAUGUUUCAGCAAAGCAGUGAAGAAGCAGCCUUCUGUGACCUUUCUGAACAAGGCAGAGGAAAGCAAGCUGUAGGCUGACAUAGUUAGGUGAUUCCAUAACAAAAUUGCGCUGUAAACAAUCAUCUGGAUCAAUCGACAGAAGGCACUUGCAACAGGUUCCCAGAUGACAGAAAACUAUAGGAAUGACAGGGAAGGAAUGAUGGGGCAGAUUAAAAUGGAGAAAUUUAACAGGGACAAAUGUAAAAGUCGGACAUUUUGCUCCAAAGUUCAACAGAACAGCUACCUGCUUUGUUGGAUAUGUUCAGGCAGUGUCCUUUAUAAGAGUUUGAUUGACUCUAAAUGAAUCUCAUUAUGAGUCACCAUUGGGACAGGCUGCCAAAAGGCCAAUGUGACUUCAGAUUAAAUCAAUAGAGGUCUACUGGCUGAAACAAGGGAGGUGACAUUAUUGAGUCCAUCCCUGGUGUAUGUAGCUGCUACCCUCUGAGAAGGAGGCCCCCAAUAGGAAAAGCCAGAGGGAGGAUGGAUAAGACAUGAAGAGCUCUAGAACCAUGGUUUGGUAGUAGGAGGGGCUCAGGGUUUGGGUCUUUAAAAGAUAAGACAGAGAGUGCUGUUCACAUCUGUGAAGGAACAUGGCAUGAGAAGGGGAGUUGACUUCCACCAUGGGGACCUGCAGGGUGACUGGGGCUGGAAGAUGAUCAAUUGUGACCCAGGACCAGGAAGAACUUCGCAGCAACAAAAGUCACAGGAAAUGGAAAAAACUCCUGGUGAAGAACACAG